CGUGGCUGAAGGUUUCUCACCGAAAUCUACAUGAUAGCUGUCAAUGUUCGUUAGAAAGACUGCCCCGGCGUCGGUUGGAAUCAGUCAGCUUACUCCAGUCGAAUCAGCAUGAGUUGGGGUUCCUUGCCAAUGUCUUCCUCCUCUUCGUUUUUGCAGAGUUCUUGGGGGAAUGAUCAGCCUGACAACAUAAUUGCUGCUAUCGACGAUUUCCUAGCUUUUGAUGAAGAUCCGCAGACGGCACAUGCCGUGCUCUCUCCUGCAAGUCAGCAGCAGAGUCCGGAGUUCUUCCAGGAUCAUGACAAAAAUGAGAACAAGUCGAAGGGCUCUUUGAGGGGGAGUAGCAGCGGGAGCAGAGUUGCAUUCAGAACCAAGUCAGAGCUUGAGGUAUUGGAUGAUGGAUACAAGUGGAGGAAGUACGGGAGGAAGAAGAUGAAGAACAGCCCAUAUCCGAGGAACUACUACCGCUGCUCGACCGUAGGAUGCAACGUGAAGAAGACAGUGGAGAGAGAGCGAGAAGACUCGAGGUUUGUGUUAACGACCUACGAAGGCACUCAUAACCAUCAUGCACCCCUGCCUGCAACCACACUGCAUCAGAGGCUGGAAGGCCUCCCUCACACGGAAUACUAGCAACACUUGGGGAAUUAAAGGAUCCAUGCCAUUUGAAGAAGAAGUUGGAGGUGUAGCGGUGUUUGCGUCGUGUCAUAAAACUAGUGCAAAUUUACAUUCCUUUUUCUAUGUUGCUAUACAAAAAAAUUAGAUUAACAUAUUAGAAAGAGUGGUCCGCUUAUUAUC